CAUGUAUGUGUAGAUAUAUAUAUAUUUAAAAAAAAAGAUGGCACAGCAGAAGGGAAUGCAAUUCUACAAGUGCAAGCCCUCAAACAGCAGAUUAUGAUAAACCCCUUCUUUAGAAAAGUAUCCAGAUGGGAAGAGA